AUUGAACGCUGGCGGCAGGCCUAACACAUGCAAGUCGAACGAGUGGCGGACGGGUGUGUAAUGUCUGGGACACUGCUCGAUGGAGGGGGAUAACUACUGGAAACGGUAGCCAAUAUCGCAUACCAUCGGAUGAGCCCAGAUGGGAUUAGCUAGUAGGUGGGGUAACGGCUCACCUAGGCGACGAUCUCUAGCUGGUCUGAGAGGAUGAUCAGCCAAACUGGGACUGAGACACGGCCCAUACUCCUACGGGAGGCAGCAGUGGGGAAUAUUGCACAAUGGGCGAAAGCCUGAUGCAGCCAUGCCGCGUGUAUGAAGAAGGCCCUAGGGUUGUAAAGUACUUUCAGUCGGGAGGCGUUACCGACAGAAGAAGCACCGGCUAACUCCGUGCCAGCAGCCGCGGUAAUUC
rnacentral:rRNA from 1 species